UACGUAGGGGGCAAGCGUUGUCCGGAAUUAUUGGGCGUAAAGAGCGUGUAGGCGGUCCGGUAAGUCAGCUGUGAAAGUCAAGGGCUCAACCCUUGAAUGCCGGUUGAUACUGUCGGGCUAGAGUCCGGAAGAGGCGAGUGGAAUUCCCGGUGUAGCGGUGAAAUGCGUAGAGAUCGGGAGGAACAUCAGUUGCGAAGGCAGCCAUCUGGACCGACACUGACGCUGAGGCGCGAAAGCGUGGGGAGCAAACAGG
rnacentral:rRNA from 1 species